CUUACAGAUGGACCCGCGGCGCAUUAGCUAGUUGGUGAGGUAACGGCUCACCAAGGCAACGAUGCGUAGCCGACCUGAGAGGGUGAUCGGCCACACUGGGACUGAGACACGGCCCAGACUCCUACGGGAGGCAGCAGUAGGGAAUCUUCCGCAAUGGACGAAAGUCUGACGGAGCAACGCCGCGUGAGUGAUGAAGGUUUUCGGAUCGUAAAGCUCUGUUGUUAGGGAAGAACAAGUGCCGUUCGAAUAGGGCGGCACC
rnacentral:rRNA from 1 species